CGGGACGGGUGAGUAACGCGUGGGUAACCGGCCUCACACAGGGGGAUAACAGUUAGAAAUGACUGCUAAUACCGCAUAACCCGAUAGGAUCGCAUGAUCCAGACGGAAAAGAUUUAUCGGUGUGAGAUGGACCCGCGUCUGAUUAGCUAGUUGGUGAGGUAACGGCCCACCAAGGCAACGAUCAGUAGCCGGCCUGAGAGGGUGAACGGCCACAUUGGGACUGAGACACGGCCCAA
rnacentral:rRNA from 1 species